GGGGAAUAUUGCACAAUGGGCGCAAGCCUGAUGCAGCCAUGCCGCGUGUGUGAAGAAGGCCUUCGGGUUGUAAAGCACUUUCAGCGAGGAGGAAGGGUAGUGUGUUAAUAGCACAUUGCAUUGACGUUACUCGCAGAAGAAGCACCGGCUAACUCCGUGCCAGCAGCCGCGGUAAUACGGAGGGUGCAAGCGUUAAUCGGAAUUACUGGGCGUAAAGCGCACGCAGGCGGUUUGUUAAGUCAGAUGUGAAAUCCCCGCGCUUAACGUGGGAACU
rnacentral:rRNA from 1 species